GAUGGACGCUAGCUACAGGCUUAACACAUGCAAGUCGAGGGGAAACGGCAUCGAAAGCUUGCUUUUGAUGGGCGUCGACCGGCGCACGGGUGAGUAACGCGUAUCCAACCUGCCCAUCACUUGGGAAUAACCUUGCGAAAGUAAGACUAAUGCCCAAUGACAUCCCACGAAGGCAUCCGAAUGGGAUUAAAGAUUUAUCGGUGAUGGAUGGGGAUGCGUCUGAUUAGCUUGUUGGCGGGGUGACGGCCCACCAAGGCAACGAUCAGUAGGGGUUCUGAGAGGAAGGUCCCCCACAUUGGAACUGAGACACGGUCCAAACUCCUACGGGAGGCAGCAGUGAGGAAUAUUGGUCAAUGGGCGAGAGCCUGAACCAGCCAAGUAGCGUGCAGGAUGACGGCCCUAUGGGUUGUAAACUGCUUUUAUAAGGGAAUAAAGUGGGUCACGUGUGACUUUUUGCAUGUACCUUAUGAAUAAGGACCGGCUAAUUCCGUG
rnacentral:rRNA from 1 species